rnacentral:rRNA from 1 species
CCCUACUGCUAUCGGGGUGGGACUAAGACAUGCGAGUCGAGCGUCUCCAGCUAUGGUGAGACGCGGCAGACGGCUCAGUAACACGUGGCUAACCUACCCUCAGGACGGGGACAAACCCGGGAAACUGGGGCUAAUACCCGAUAGGCGAGGGCGCCUGGAAUGGUUCUUCACCCAAAGGGCUUUGGAAGCAUGCUUUUCAAAGUCGCCUGGGGAUGGGGCCGCGUCCGAUCAGGUUGUUGGUGAGGUAACGGCUCACCAAGCCUAUAACCGGUACGGGCCGUGAGAGCGGUAGCCCGGAGAUGGGCACUGAGACAAGGGCCCAGGCCCCACGGGGCGCAGCAGUCGCGAAAACUCCGCAAUGCACGAAAGUGUGACGGGGCUACCCCGAGUGCCGUCCGCUGAGGAUGGCUUUUCCUCGGUGUAACUAGCCGGGGGAAUAAGGAGAGGGCAAGACUGGUGUCAGCCGCCGCGGUAAUACCAGCUCUCCGAGUGGUAGGGAUGAUAUUGGGCUUAAAGCGUCCGUAGCCGGCUUAGCAAGUCUCCUGUUAAAUUCAGCGACCUAAUCGUUGAGCCGCGGGAGAUACUACUAGGCUAGGAGGCGGGAGAGGUCGACGGUAUUUCCGGGGUAGGGGUGAAAUCCUAUAAUCCCGGGAGGACCACCAGUGGCGAAGGCUGUCGACUAGAACGCGCUCGACGGUGAGGGACGAAAGCUGGGGGAGCGAACCGGAUUAGAUACCCGGGUAGUCCCAGCCGUAAACGAUGCGGGCUAGGUGUUGGGGUGGCUACGUGCCACUUCAGUGCCGCAGGGAAGCCAUUAAGCCCGCCGCCUGGGGAGUACGGCCGCAAGGCUGAAACUUAAAGGAAUUGGCGGGGGAGCACCACAAGGCGUGAAGCUUGCGGUUCA